CCAGAACGACUCUCGGCAACGGAUAUCUCGGCUCUCGCAUCGAUGAAGAACGUAGCGAAAUGCGAUACUUGGUGUGAAUUGCAGAAUCCCGUGAACCAUCGAGUCUUUGAACGCAAGUUGCGCCCGAAGCCGUCAGGCCGAGGGCACGUCUGCCUGGGCGUCACGC
rnacentral:rRNA from 3 species